rnacentral:misc_RNA from 1 species
AGAAUGAAUAGUCAUAAAAGGAAUUAAAUUUUUAUCAUUUAUUAAAGGAUAAGACUGUCUUAUAUGUAUGACAAAUUCACAAGCAUCGCAAACUAAUCGGAGUUGCAAUUUCUAAACAAAUUAGGAUAUAACCUUUCUAAAGCUGAAAAAAUGGAUGUCCUAAUGUCUCAUGCCACUGGAUAAUCUCUUCCUUAGCAAUCAUAGACUGUCCUAUCAAAGCUUGGUUUGCUCCAGGAUUUGAAGGACCACAACUGUUGUUAAGAAGAUAUAGACCAUCUCGCAAUCUACCACUGCUAAU